UGGAGAUAUAUAGUGGUUUGA
ensembl:piRNA 21ur-4883 ncRNA